rnacentral:hammerhead_ribozyme from 1 species
AUCCAACUGAUGAGUCCCGAAUGGGACGAAACGCAUGUCCAGCAU